rnacentral:rRNA from 1 species
ACAUGCCUACAACCUAGAGUUAAUGCACCAAAUCCCAUUAGAAAUUCACAGUUAAUUGCACUUAGGCUAGAGUAGUACUGGGAUGGGUGACCUCCCUAGAAGUCCUAGUGUUUUACAUGCC